rnacentral:tRNA from 1 species
GUCAGGAUGGCCGAGCGGUCUAAGGCGCCAGACUUAAAUUCUGGUCUUCAAUGAAGGCGUGGGUUCAAAUCCCACUCCUGACA